rnacentral:tRNA from 1 species
GCCGGUGUAGCUUAAUGGUAAAGCCUCUGCCUUCCAAGCAGAUGACGCGGUUUCGAUUACCGUCACCGGCUCCA